ensembl:snRNA U6 U6 spliceosomal RNA
AUACUCCUUUUGGCAGCACAUACACUAAAAUUGGAAUAAUAUAGAGAAAAUUACCAUGGCUCCUAUUCAAGGAUGACACAAAAAUGCACAAAGUGUUCCAUAUUUUU